rnacentral:misc_RNA from 1 species
CAUUUAGGUUAGCAUAUUUGUUUCUCAAUUCUAGAUCUAAUGGGCUUUCAUGUGAAUGCCAUUUGGCUAAAAAGGAAUCUAAUUGCAUGUUGCCAUCAAGGCCAGCUGCUGAUAACAGAGUUUGGAUGAAGGUAGGCCAGUCUUGUUCUUCCUCAGCACAGGAAGAGAUCGAAGAGGGCUUUAAUGAAUAAGGUGUAGCUGUCUCUACACAAGAAUCAUCCCAUGAUAGAGUCCUUGCAAUUGAUUCUAUAGGUGGUGACUUGUCGAUCAAAUUAGACUUAAGAGACACCUCUGCUCCCCUGCAGUUUGGCCUCAUGUUGCCAGAAGGCUCUGGAACUGUGUUGUCGUCCUCAAAUGGGGGUUCUAAAACUGAGAUUGGACUUGGUUGAUCCUGGUUCUCACUCAUAUUCCCAGGCACUGCAGGCUUUGUCACUGAUAGGGGUGCCUCCUGGAAAACAAACCCUUGUUUUGUUGCCGUGUCAAUCAAAUCUGGAAAAGUAAUUCUACCUGAUGGUCCAUGUAAACCAGGAGAUAAACAAUCUUCAAGGCUAACAUUAUUAGUACACUGAGAUGCAUCAUCACCAAUCUUUCCAGGAAGAGGUAUUGGCGACCCUGGUGUUUCAGGAGUAGG